GAGGCUCCACCACUCGAUCACAACCGGACUCAAAGCCGAGCUUCAUUUCCGAGCUCAGAAGCCGAGCUCCAGUAGUUUGCAUGGACACACUUUCACAAACCCUUCUCCUUCUUCUCCUCUCCACGAUCGGCGGUUUCAUUCAAGUGGAGACUUCCCAACUUUCAACUUCUCCACUCUCCAUCUUCCACCAUUUAUCCUACAAACCAAAAGACACCCCUUUUUAAACAUCCACCCUUUCACUUCUCUUCUCACCUUACACUUCAAAAAAAAAAAGAGGAGAAUGAGAUUGUGAGAGAGAGGGCCGAGAGAGGGAGCUAGAGGUGAGCAAGAAUUUGGGGUUCGUAUUCAACCCUUUCAAGAAUUCACCUAUCAGAAGGUGGUUCGCACGCACGCUAAAAGUCGGAACGAGGAAUUUUACGGAAAUCCUAAGCUUUUGAGGUUGAGCGAGGACAGGAGGCGGAGAAUGUUGAGCAAAGACAGGAUUCAGUAAACGUUCCGGUUACUA